rnacentral:rRNA from 1 species
CCUACGGGGGGCAGCAGUGAGGAAUAUUGGUCAAUGGGCGCGAGCCUGAACCAGCCAAGUAGCGUGAAGGAUGACUGCCCUACGGGUUGUAAACUUCUGUUAUAAAGGAAUAAAGUGAGGCACGUGUGCCAUGUUGUAUGGACUUUAUGAAUAAGGAUCGGCUAACUCCGUGCCAGCAGCCGCGGUAAUACGGAGGAUCCGAGCGUUAUCCGGAUUUAUUGGGUUGAAAGGGAGCGUAGAUGGGUUGUUAAGUCAGUUUUGACAGUUUGCGGCUCAACCGUAAAAUUGCAAUUGAUACUGGCAGCCUUGCUUACAGUUGUGGUAGGCGGCAUUCGUGGUGUCGCGG